rnacentral:rRNA from 1 species
AUGGAGAAGAUAAUUGAUCUAUCUGAUGGUGAGUAUGCUCGGGUUUAUGAUUAUCAGCUUGAGUUGCUUAGAAGCAACCCCGGUAGCACUAUCGCAGUGACAUUAAAUCCAGAAAUUCUUAACAUCAAUGUGUUUGAAAGAAUGCAUAUGUGUUUAGAUGGUUGCAAGAAAGGAUUUCUUGCAGGAUGUAGAAGAGUGGUGGGGCUAGAUGGAUGUUUUUUGAAGGGUGCAUUCAAGGGGCAGUUGCUUUGUGCAAUUGGCAGAGAUGCGAAUAACCAGAUGUAUCCAAUAGCUUGGGCAAUAGUAGAGGUUGAGAGCUAUGAGUCCUGGUAUUGGUUCAUUGGGUUUCUUCAAAAAGAUCUCCAGAUAAAUAACAAUGGCGAAGGAUGGGUUUUCAUCUCUGAUCAACAGAAAGGUCUCAUCAGGGCAGUCAAAUGA